rnacentral:rRNA from 1 species
ACAAAAAGUAAGUAAGGGCACAUGGCGGAUGCCUUGGCUCUCGGAGGCGAUGAAGGACGUGAUAAGCUGCGAUAAGCUGCGGGUAGGUGCAAAUGACCUUUGAUCCGCGGAUUUCCGAAUGGGACAACCCGGUACNNNNNNNNNNACUCCGUUUUGAUUAUUGUUUUAUAAUUGAAACACCGUUCUUUGACAUGAUGUGACCAAAAAAAAGUAAAGUUAAAAGCUGAAAGUAUAUAUCGACCAUACGUGAUCGGUAAGACAAAAAGUAAGUAAGGGCACAUGGCGGAUGCCUUGGCUCUCGGAGGCGAUGAAGGACGUGAUAAGCUGCGAUAAGCUGCGGGUAGGUGCAAAUGACCUUUGAUCCGCGGAUUUCCGAAUGGGACAACCCGGUACCUUGAAGAGGUACCAUUCCACAAUGUGGAAGGCUAACGCAGGGAACUGAAACAUCUUAGUACCUGCAGGAAAAGAAAAUAAACAAUGANNNNNNNNNNAAGGCUAACGCAGGGAACUGAAACAUCUUAGUACCUGCAGGAAAAGAAAAUAAACAAUGAUUCCCCCAGUAGUGGCGAGCGAACGGGGAACAGCCCAAACCACCCAUGUUACGGCAUGUGUGGGGUUGUAGGACCACGUCGUGGCAAGAAAGUUGGUGAGCAGAAUGUUCUGGAAAGUACAGCCAUAGAGCAUGACAGCUGCGUAUGCGAAGCCAAGCGAAGCCUAGUGGUAUCCUGAGUAGCGCGGAGCACGAGGAAUUCUGCGUGAAUCUGCCGGGACCAUCCGGUAAGGCUAAAUACUCCCGAGAGACCGAUAGUGAACCAGUACUGUGAAGGAAAGGUGAAAAGCACUUCGAACAGAAGAGUGAAAUAGUUCCUGAAACCAUGUGCCUACAAGCGGUCGGAGCACCUUCUGGUGUGACGGCGUGCCUUUUGCAUAAUGAACCUACGAGUUACUUUUUCCGGCGAGGUUAAGGAUUUCAGAUCUGCAGCCGAAGCGAAAGCGAGUCUGAACAGGGCGUAUAGUCGGAAGGAGUAGACGCGAAACCAAGUGAUCUACCCUUGGGCAGGUUGAAGGAUGGGUAACACCAUCUGGAGGACCGAACCAAUAAGCGUUGAAAAGCUUCUGGAUGACCUGAGGGUGGGGGUGAAAGGCUAAUCAAACUUGGAGAUAGCUCGUACUCCCCGAAAUGCAUUUAGGUGCAGCCUUGACUUAUACUGGCAUGAGGUAGAGCGACUGAUAAGAUGCGAGGGCUUCACCGCCUAUCAAGUCUUGACAAACUCCGAAUGCGUGUCAGUUCUAUGUCAGGAGUGAGGGCAUGGGUGCUAAGGUCCAUGUCCUAAAGGAGAACAAUCCGGACCAACAGCUAAGGUCCCGAAAUGAAUACUAAGUUGAACUAACGAAGUCAGAUUGCUAAGACAGCUAGGAUGUUGGCUUGGAAGCAGCCAUUCAUUUAAAGAGUGCGUAACAGCUCACUAGUCGAGGAGUUUGGCGUGGAUAAUAAUCGGGCAUAAGUAUUCUACCGAAGCUUUGGGAUGAGAAAUCAUCGGUAGGGGAGCAUUCCACUCGGCGUCGAAGGUGAAGCGCGAGCUUUGCUGGAGCGUGUGGAAAAGCAAAUGUAGGUAUAAGUAACGAUAAAGGGGGUGGGAAACCCCCUCGCCGAAAGACUAAGGUUUCCUGAUCAACGCUAAUCGGAUCAGGGUAAGUCGGGUCCUAAGGCUCAGCCGAACGGCGAGGCCGAUGGCAGAACCGGUUAAUAUUCCGGUACUACCUGUGGGAGUGACGUGGAGACGGAGUCGUGACAGCGCCGCGGACUGACGGAAUAGUCCGUUGAAGGGUGUAGAUGCUGAUUGUUCCAGGCAAAUCCGGAGCAAGAGUCGAACCUGACAGUAUGGAGCGUUCUUAGAACAAUCCAAUAGUGCGUGUAAUCAUACUUCCAAGAAAAUCCGCUAAACUUAAUCCUGCAGGUACCCGUACCGCAAACGGACACACGUAGUCGGGUUGAAUAUACUAAGGCGCUUGAGUGAUUCACGGUUAAGGAACUAGGCAAACUGACCCUGUAACUUCGGGAUAAAGGGUCCUCGCUUUACGGCGAGGCGCAGAGAAUAGGUCCAGGCAACUGUUUAACAAAAACACAGGGCUGUGCAAAAUUGAAAGAUGAAGUAUACAGCCUGACACCUGCCCGGUGCUGGAAGGUUAAGAGGAGAUGUCAUCGCAAGAGAAGCAUUGAAUUGAAGCCCCAGUAAACGGCGGCCGUAACUAUAACGGUCCUAAGGUAGCGAAAUUCCUUGUCGGGUAAGUUCCGACCUGCACGAAUGGUGUAAUGAUCUGGACGCUGUCUCAACCGUGAGCUCAGUGAAAUUGUAGUAUCGGUGAAGAUGCCGAUUACCCGCGAUGGGACGAAAAGACCCCGUGAACCUUUACUAUAGCUUAACAUUGAAUUUGGGUAAUUGAUGUGUAGGAUAGGCCGGAGGCUUCGAAGCGGGCACGCCAGUGUCCGUGGAGCCGCUGUUGAAAUACGGCCCUUUGAUUAUUUGAGUUCUAACCCGUUGUUGCGGGGACACUGUUUGGUGGGUAGUUUGACUGGGGUGGUCGCCUCCAAAAGUGUAACGGAGGCUUCUAAAGGUGCCCUCACGACGAUUGGUAACCGUCGGCAGAGUGUAAUGGCAUAAGGGCGCUUGACUGGGAGACUUACAAGUCGAUCAGGUAGGAAACUAGAGCAUAGUGAUCCGGUGUUUCUGUAUGGAAAGGACAUCGCUCAAAGGAUAAAAGGUACUCCGGGGAUAACAGGCUGAUCCCUCCCAAGAGCUCAUAUCGACGGAGGGGUUUGGCACCUCGAUGUCGGCUCGUCACAUCCUGGGGCUGGAGAAGGUCCCAAGGGUUGGGCUGUUCGCCCAUUAAAGUGGCACGCGAGCUGGGUUCAGAACGUCGUGAGACAGUUCGGUCUCUAUCUAUCGUGGGCGCAUGAAAUUUGCGUGGCUCUGACACUAGUACGAGAGGACCGUGUUGGACUGACCUCUGGUUUACCGGUUGUGCCGCCAGGUGCAUUGCCGGGUAUCUAAGUCGGGAUUGGAUAAGUGCUGAAAGCAUCUAAGUACGAAGCCAGCCACAAGAUUAGAUUUCUCAGGGUCGUUGUAGACUACAACGUUGAUAGGAUGCAGGUGUACAGGCAGCGAUGUCAUAGCCGAGCAUUACUAAUUGCCCGUCCACUUUUUGCCU